AAAAAGAAAGUGUAGAUCGAGGAAAGGACGAAAUUAAAGAUGCAAAAUCUUUGAGAAGGCUAGAGGAGACGGUAGUUGAGUGUUCCAAAACUAAUGUGUUGGUUAGAUCAGUUGGUGUAAAAAACAAUGCAGUAAAGAGAAAAUCAUUGGCAGAGGCCACAAAUUUUCACGACCCAGUUGCAGUAGAGGUUACUGGUAAAUGGACAUGUCCUCAGAAG
rnacentral:lncRNA from 1 species